rnacentral:rRNA from 1 species
GACGAACGCUGGCGGCGUGCCUAAUACAUGCAAGUCGAGCGAGCUUGCCUAGAUGAAUUUGGUGCUUGCACCAGAUGAAACUAGAUACAAGCGAGCGGCGGACGGGUGAGUAACACGUGGGUAACCUGCCCAAGAGACUGGGAUAACACCUGGAAACAGAUGCUAAUACCGGAUAACAACACUAGACGCAUGUCUAGAGUUUAAAAGAUGGUUCUGCUAUCACUCUUGGAUGGACCUGCGGUGCAUUAGCUAGUUGGUAAGGCAACGGCUUACCAAGUCAAUGAUGCAUAGCCGGAGGGAGAGACUGUUCGGCCACAUUGGAACUGAGACACGGCCCAAACUCCUACGGGAGGCAGCAGUAGGGAAUCUUCCGCAAUGGGCGCAAGUCUGAUGGAGCAACGCCGCGUGAGUGAAGAAGGGUUUCGGCUCGUAAAGCCCUGUUGGUAGUGAAGAAAGAUAGAGGUAGUAACUGGCCUUUAUUUGACGGUAAUUACUAAGAAAGUCACGGCUAACUACGUG